CUGUUCCUACGGGGCGCAGCAGUGAGGAAUAUUGGUCAAUGGCCGCAGGGCUGAACCAGCCAAGUCGCGUGAGGGAUGACGGUCCUAUGGAUUGUAAACCUCUUUUGUCAGGGAGCAAAGGGCGCCACGUGUGGCGCUUUGCGAGUACCUGAAGAAAAAGCAUCGGCUAACUCCGUGCCAGCAGCCGCGUUAAUACGGAGGAUGCGAGCGUUAUCCGGAUUUAUUGGGUUUAAAGGGUGCGCAGGCGGAAUGUCAAGUCAGCGGUAAAAUUUCGGUGCUCAACCCAGUCGUGCCGUUGACACUGG
rnacentral:rRNA from 1 species